GCAGAUGGCAUGAUAGGAAGCGAUGAUAGAGAGUUUUUCCCACAAUAAUAGGAAGUAGAAGGAACAAUUGGUUUGGGCGGUCAAAAGUUUGAUUCUUUUCUUCUCUCCCCCUUUUUCCGAUGGAUCAAGCUACUAACUUCCUCAAGCCCUAGAAUUUCCUUCCUCUUCCUCUUCCUCUCCCUCUCGAAGCGCAAAGGGUGUCGUCAAGGCACCAGAUUCUGAUUCGUUUUUGAAUCAGCUUUCGCUUUGAAUUUUCCCUUGUCCUGAAAGGGCGAGAGGAUGCAAUAAAGGAAAAAGAAACGGAAGUUUUCCUUUUUUUUUUUUAGUUUUUUUGUAUUUUUGAUGAUUUUUCUGUUGUUGUCGGAUCAAGAAAAUGAUUAUGGAUCCAGAUCUUAUCCACUACGCCUGCAUUGCAAAGGGCACAACAGUAUUAGCAGAGUUCAACUCCAAAGACGCAGCGCUCGGAGAAAUUGCGGCCAAAUGCCUUGAGGUCACGCCGCCGUUUCAUGCGACUUUUACCCACACCGUCCGAUCCAGGACCUACACUUUUCUUAUCGAAGAUCCUUUUGUUUUUUUCGCGAUUUUCGAUGAGAAGAUGGAGAGCGCGGAGAGGUUGGCGUUUCUGAAGAGCGUAAGAGACGCAUUUGCUGGGGUUGCUAAAAGUACGAAAAAUCUGAAAAGUUUGAAUUCUCAUUGUUUCCAGGGAGAGUUUAAUCCAGUUUUCCGUCAGUUGCUGGGAUUGGGUUUGGACCGUCUGGAGUAUUUAGAAUCUCCAACAGGGCAGAGAUUGGGCCCAAGUGGGAUCUUACAUUCGGAUCCAGUUAUGGGGACGUCCAAGCCCAAUUGCGAGAAGGGGUUGACGAAGAUGAAGAAUAGGUUGCUUGGGGAAUUGAAUAUUGGAAGGAGAAACGGGGAGAAAAAAGAGGAUGAUGACGAUGGAGGAAAAGGGAUUGGGUUGAGCCGCGAGUUUUCGCUCCUUAGGCAUAAAAAUGGGUACUCUGCAGAAUUGUCAAGCCAGCAGAAAGCGAAAAAAGUGUGGAAGAAGCAAGUGUGGGUUAUUCUUUCGCUUGAUUUGAUCAUUUGUGUGAUCUUGUUUGCUGUCUGGUUGUGGGUUUGCAGUGGUUUCAAAUGCAUGGAUAGCUGAAUACGUGUUUAAGCUGUUUUGGAUAUUCAGGAAUUGCAUUGGGGCUGCAGGUCAUGUAUCUGCUUCUGCUGUCAAAUACUAAUGUAGAGACAGUAGCUGCAAAAGAGGCUAGUCCCAGCUGUUUGGUACUUGCAAGAAACUUGCUGCGUAUUUCCUCAUGUUUCACUCCACAUAGCCAUCCUUAUAUUCUUGAAGGUCUCACUUUUCAUUCUAGAUAACAUCAUAUGCAUAGUCAUCAUCAUGGUUCCUGCUACUCUGUUAGAACACGAGAUAGAAUUUUGCUGCCUGAGGAAUUAGAGGCGCCUUUCGCACUGUGUGAAUAUUUCUGGUUCCAUGUUGUUGCUAUGUAUUUUCCUGAAAGAUCUCACACUUCAUUCU